GAUCCUGGGCAGCUGUCCCUGUGCCUCUCCCCCUUCCUGCCUCUCACAGAUGCUCCGCCCACUUCACGGGGCUCCUCCCACCUGACCUGGCCUCUGUCCUUCAUGCUGACUGCCAGGGCAGUCUGGCCAGGAAGCCAAAGCAUGGGGCAGAGGGAGGAAGGUGGGUCCCUCCUGUGGGCUGUCCCUGGGGACGCCUCUCCUCUUUGUUGGGGUCAGGUGGUGCCCAGGGCUACCCUGACAGAGUCAGCGGUGCCUGGACCUCGGUGAGAUGGGGAGAGAUUCCCUACCCUGCACACUCCCGGGGUCCUUCAUUCACUACCUACUCACCAUCUCUAGGCAAUGCACAGUAUAGCACUUAGAAAGGCACAAAGGGUGUCUGCCUUUGUGGGCACACAUUCUCAUUGUAGAUGGACAAAACCAAUUAAAAUAGAAGUCACAAGAGCUUUCGGAUCAGUGCUCUGAUCCAAAGCCGCCUUGUCCCAUCUGGAGCCAUGAAUCACCAUGGAGCCCCUGAGAAGGGCGGAGCCAAAUGGGGACAUGGUGUACCCAGGGCUGGAAGGUCCUCCAGGACAACAGAAUGAGCUUCCACACCCAGGGCAGAGCCCAACAUCCGCCUUGAACUCAAGAGCCUGAGAUCAAGAGCUGAGAUCAAGAGUUGAGAUCCAGAGUCAGAGGUGUGACUGACUGAGCCUCCCAGAGGCACCUUUGGUGACCUUUCUACUGCCAGAGGAGGAAUGCACCUUUCGCACAUGAGAAGCAAAAGACCAUAUGGUGUAUGAUUCUGUGUCUAUGAGACAUCCAGGACAGGCAAAUCCAGGAGACAGAAAGCAGAGAGAGAAAGAGAGCACAAGCAGGGGGAGUGGCAGGCAGAGGGAGAUGGAGAACCAGGUUCCCCACUGAGCAGGAAGCCAGAUGCGGGACCCUGGGACCACGACCUGAGCUGAACGCAGAUGCUCAACCGACUGAGCCACCAGGUGGCCCUAGGCCUGCCCAACUCCGUGUGUUGACCUCCAACUGCCGUCCAGGGACUGGUGCCUGUCUGAACCAGGAGCCCCAGGACCAGGGAUCAGAGGUGGCAAGCCUUCUUUCCCCGGAGAUACCUGGGAAGGUCUUACCAUCCUGGAUGUUACCGCCAACAAUAGUGACUGCGUGCUCCGUGUGUGUCUGGCGCCCGGAUGAGGGACGAUCUCACUG